CUAAUAAAACCACGUCAUUCCAACCCCAAAUUUAAUAAGGAUCACGAAAAUCCUACUCGUUUUGUUAUGGGAUCACUAUUUCCGGAGAUAUUGGCUACUUCCGGUUACUUCCGAAAAUGUUUCGUGACAAUCUGCAAAAACUAAAAAAUGAGCUGUAUUGUUCUAACAAUUUCAAAUACUUUUCUCUCAUGCUUUAGGGUGUGGUAGGUAUUAUUCCGUGUUUUUCUUGUUUUCAACACUUCAGGCUGAUCCUACGAGCUACGACAGUUUUACACUUUUACCUACAAAUUUUUAGCGUUUCGUGCUGCAACUAGCAGUUGAUAUUCUUGGAUGUUAUGCUUAAAAUUGGAAUUCAAUAAUCAGAGAUUAGCAAAAUUCAAGCACUUAAAAGCAAGUAUUGUACUUAUUAUUUCAACAUUCAAAGUAAAAUAUGAUUUUUGGUUCUAGGUGGAAACUCUAGAUGGCGUUGAUGUGCGUCUAUGAUGAAGAUUACGAGUGACAAGUUAAAUUGUUGUUUGUUACGUUACCCUGUUUUGUGUUUCAAAGGAUUUUUCGUUAAAAAAAUUACGAUUGCUUUAUGUAUGUGGUGGUGUUUCGCUUUGUCAGCUGCUGAACCAGCAGGCAGCAGCCUGCAUUCCUGCUAUCAAUGUACCACAAGGGAUCCUGACAUUUUAAGAAGGCCUCAAGCCUUUUGUUUAAGCUUAGGGAUGUGUUCUCUCGUCAGUCAACCAGAGUUUUCAUCUACUUUGUGUUGCUAACCAUCAGCCCUCAACAUCCCAGGUAUCCAGAUUUCUACGCUUCUCUGAUUAGCCAACCAUCAUUCCAUACACUUCAGCUUUUCAUUGUGGCCUCUCUUCCUCUCUCCGUAGUCUGCUGAAUGCCAACAUGGAAUAAGGUUCAUCGUUGUCGCCUUACUGUGAAAAUCAUCAUUGUUAAUCCUGCUGUUCUUCUCACCGUUACUUAGCCAGCUCACAUGGAUAGGCUUUAAAACCAUCUCCAUUUUUGGACUGCAAAUAUUCAUCUUCCUUCGGUACAACACUGCCGUUUUGACAAUUUUGGUAGUUUCACCCCCAGUGGAUCACACGCAACUACAUUGUCUUCGUCUUCCUGUCGUUGUUGUCUACGACUUCACCUCAUCGCUGUUUUCGUCUACGUCUUCGCCUCAUCGCUGUCUUCGUCUACGUCUUCGCCUCAUCACUGUCUUCUUGGCCGUCUUCGCCUUCAUUUCCGUCUCGUCGUCUUUGCCGUCUUCGCCUUUCCCGUCUUCGCCUUUGCCGUCUUCGCCUUUGCCGUCUUCGCCUUCAUGCCGUCUCGUCGUCUUUGCCGUCUUCGCCUUUGUUUCAUCGUCGUCUUGGCCGUCUUCUCCUUCGCCCUUCACGUAGGGAGUUCACCGCGGAUCGUCGCCCUGGUAUUGUUUUAUUUUGCAUUGUUAUGUUUAAGUUAACCCGUUGGCUGCCACCCCGUUUGCGUCCCAUUUUUUUUGUAGCUUGUAGGGACCGGCCGCAAUGGCCUUCGCCGCAAGGCGCCUUAGGCAA